rnacentral:rRNA from 1 species
AGUGAACGCUGGCGGCGUGCCUAAUACAUGCAAGUCGAACGAUGAAGUCCUAGCUUGCUAGGAUGGAUUAGUGGCGCACGGGUGAGUAAUAUAUAGUUAAUCUGCCCUACACAGAGGAACAACAGUUGGAAACGACUGCUAAUACCUCAUACUCCUAUUUGACAUAAGUUAAAUAGGGAAAGUCUUUUCGGUGUAGGAUGAGACUAUAUCGUAUCAGCUAGUUGGUAAGGUAAUGGCUUACCAAGGCUAUGACGCGUAACUGGUCUGAGAGGAUGAUCAGUCACAUUGGAACUGAGACACGGUCCAAACUCCUACGGGAGGCAGCAGUAAGGAAUAUUGCGAAAUGGGGGAAACCCUGACGCAGCAACGCCGCGUGGAGGAUGACACUUUUCGGAGCGUAAACUCCUUUUAUCAGGAAAGAAUAAUGACGGUACCUGAUGAAUAAGCACCGGCUAACUCCGUG